rnacentral:rRNA from 1 species
AACGUAGGUUCCGAGCGUUAUCCGGAUUUACUGGGCGUAAAGCGCGUUCAGGCGGUUUGGCAAGUCGGGCAUGAAAUCUCUCGGCUCAACCGGGAGAGGUUGUCCGAUACUGCUGGACUUGAGGGCAGUAGAGGGUGGUGGAAUUCCGGGUGUAGUGGUGAAAUGCGUAGAUAUCCGGAGGAACACCAGUGGCGAAAGCGGCCACCUGGACUGUACCUGACGCUGACACGCGAAAGCUAGGGGGGCGAACGGG